rnacentral:rRNA from 1 species
GACGAACGCUGGCGGCGUGCUUAACACAUGCAAGUCGAACGAUGAAGCCGGAGCUUGCUCUGGUGAAUUAGUGGCGAACGGGUGAGUAACACGUGAGUAACCUGCCCUUGACUCUGGGAUAACUGCGGGAAACUGUAGCUAAUACCGGAUACGACCCUCGGAGGCAUCUCCUGGGGGUGGAAAGAAUUUCGGUCAAGGAUGGACUCGCGGCCUUACAGCUAGUUGGUGAGGUAAAGGCUCACCAAGGAGACGACGGGUAGCCGGCCUGAGAGGGUGACCGGCCACACUGGGACUGAGACACGGCCCAGACUCCUACGGGAGGCAGCAGUGGGGAAUAUUGCACAAUGGGCGCAAGCCUGAUGCAGCAACGCCGCGUGAGGGAUGACGGCCUUCGGGUUGUAAACCUCUUUUAGCAGGGAAGAAGCGAAAGUGACGGUACCUGCAGAAAAAGCACCGGCUAACUACGUGCCAGCAGCCGCCGUAA